rnacentral:rRNA from 1 species
UUUAUGGAGAGUUUGAUCCUGGCUCAGGAUGAACGCUGGCGGCAUGCCUAAUACAUGCAAGUCGAGCGAACGGACGAGAAGCUUGCUUCUCUGAUGUUAGCGGCGGACGGGUGAGUAACACGUGGAUAACCUACCUAUAAGACUGGGAUAACUUCGGGAAACCGGAGCUAA